UACGUACUGUGCGAACGUUAUUCGGAAUCACUGGGCUUAAAGGGUGCGUAGGCGGCCAAUUAAGUAGGGUGUGAAAUGCCAGAGCUCAACUUUGGCAUUGCGCUCUAGACUGGUUGGCUUGAGUGAGAUAGGGGUGUGCGGAACUUCCGGUGGAGCGGUGAAAUGUGUUGAUAUUGGAAGGAACGCCGGUGGCGAAAGCGGCACACUGGGUCUUAACUGACGCUGAUGCACGAAAGCCAGGGGAGCGAACGGG
rnacentral:rRNA from 1 species